CCUACGGGCGGCUGCCGUGGGGAAUAUUGGACAAUGGGCGAAAGCCUGAUCCAGCCAUGCCGCGUGUGUGAAGAAGGCCUUCGGGUUGUAAAGCACUUUCAGUGGGGAAGAAAGCCUUGGGGCUAAUACCCUCGAGGAAGGACAUCACCCACAGAAGAAGCACCGGCUAACUCCGUGCCAGCAGCCGCGGUAAUACGGAGGGUGCGAGCGUUAAUCGGAAUUACUGGGCGUAAAGCGCGCGUAGGCGGUCUGAUAAGCCGGUUGUGAAAGCCCCGGGCUCAACCUGGGAACGGCAUCCGGAACUGUCAGGCUAGAGUGCAGGAGAGGAAGGUAGAAUUCCCGGUGUAGCGGUGAAAUGCGUAGAGAUCGGGAGGAAUACCAGUGGCGAAGGCGGCCUUCUGGACUGACACUGACGCUGAGGUGCGAAAGCGUGGGUAGCAAACAGGAUUAGAUACCCUUGUAGUC
rnacentral:rRNA from 1 species